AUUGAACGCUGGCGGCAGGCCUAACACAUGCAAGUCGAACGAGUGGCGGACGGGUGAGUAAUGUAUGGGAAACUGCCUGAUGGAGGGGGAUAACUACUGGAAACGGUAGCUAAUACCGCAUACCAUCGGAUGAGCCCAGAUUGGAUUAGCUAGUAGGGGGGUGAAAGGCUCACCUAGGCGACGAUUCCUAGCUGGUCUGAGAGGAUGACCAGCCACACUGGAACUGAGACACGGCCCAGACUCCUACGGGAGGCAGCAGUGGGUAAUAUUGCACAAUGGGGGCAAGCCUGAUGCAGCCAUGCCGCGUGUAUGAAGAAGGCCUUCGGGUUGUAAAGUACUUUCAGCGGUGAUGCGUUACCCGCAGAAGAAGCACCGGCUAACUCCGUGCCAGCAGCCGCGGUAAUUC
rnacentral:rRNA from 1 species